UAGAUAAUGCGUUUGCGUUGUUCUUCUUC
rnacentral:piRNA from 1 species